rnacentral:rRNA from 1 species
UACGAGGGGUGCAAGCGUUGCUCGGAAUUAUUGGGCGUAAAGGGUAGGUAGGUGGUCUCGUUUGUCAGGGGUGAAAGCCUUGGGCUCAACCUAAGAAGUGCCUCUGAAACGGCGAGACUAGAGUCCUGGAGAGGGUCGUGGAAUUCCCGGUGUAGCGGUGAAAUGCGUAGAGAUCGGGAGGAACACCAGCGGCGAAGGCGGCGACCUGGACAGGUACUGACACUGAACUACGAAAGCGUGGGGAGCAAACAGG